UUAACGGCUAUUAAUUUACUAAUGUAGCGCGGUAAUUUACCCUUUAAUUGGGGGCUAGAAAAUGGUUUGACGCAGAAAAACUGUCUUUGAUGUAAUAAAUGAAAUUUCUUUUCAAGUGAAAAAGCUUGAGUUUUUGUAUUAGACGAGAAGACCCUAUUGAACUUGAUUACUGAGUAUAACUAUAUAAUUAUAAAGAAUUAUAAAUUAGGUGUUUAGUUAUAUUUAGAAACUUUUGUUGGGGAAACAGAGGAUUAAAACUAACAUCCUCUUUAUUUAUACAGACCCUUUACAGAGAGUCUAAAGCAAAAGUUACCAUAGGGAUAACAGCGUAAUUCCUUUUCAAGAGCUCUUAUUGAGGAGAGGGUUUGCGACCUCGAUGUUGAAUUAAAGUGA
rnacentral:rRNA from 1 species